rnacentral:ribozyme from 1 species
AGAGGUCAAGAGUUUGAGGCCAUAGCAAAAGUGCUCACGGCAUAGCCCUGUCAGAUUCCAAAGAAUCUGCGAAUUCUGCU